rnacentral:rRNA from 1 species
GAUCCUGGCUCAGGAUGAACGCUAGCUACAGGCUUAACACAUGCAAGUCGAGGGGAAACGACAUCGAAAGCUUGCUUUUGAUGGGCGUCGACCGGCGCACGGGUGAGUAACGCGUAUCCAACCUGCCCAUCACUUGGGAAUAACCUUGCGAAAGUAAGACUAAUACCCAAUGAUAUCCCACGAAGGCAUCCGAAUGGGAUUAAAGGUUUACCGGUGUAAGAUGGGGAUGCGUUCCAUUAGAUAGUAGGCGGGG